rnacentral:lncRNA from 1 species
ACCCCAAGGUGCAGAAUGUUUGUAGGUUAGACACAUUUGUUUCUUUCUUUAUAGUUUACAUUGGAAGGGAUCAAACCCUUGCCUACCAUAACGGGCCUGGCAGAAUCAACGGGGAAAGAAGACCCUGUUGAGCUUGACUCUAAUCCAACUUUACGAAAUGACUUAAGAGGUGUAGUAUAAGUAGGACCUUCAGAAUCCUAACCCAUUUCCAUACCCUCCCUCUCCACUUGGGCUAACCCCAAGGGGUUCUAGACAUUUGUUUCUUCAAGCUAGUUGAGCUGAUAUUGUACUCUCUUGGCUUCUUCCAUUGGAAUGUAAAAGAUUGUAUAGUCAUUUAGUGAUUUAGCAUCCUUGGCUCUUGGACGUGCAUGGUAUUGUUCCCUUGAAGAUGGCAAUACUCUUACUAGUUUGAGUGUCAUUGUUAACUUUGAAGGCUGUUUAACUCCACUUCUUGUCAGUGAGUGUGAUUGGGAUUGGACAAUUUCAAAUGCCUGUAUUCUUUUGGGGUCACAGGUGCAUAUACCUGGUAGAUGGAAACACGGAC